rnacentral:rRNA from 1 species
UACGUAGGGGCCUAGCGUUGUCCGGAAUUAUUGGGCGUAAAGAGCUCGUAGGCGGUUCGGCAAGUCGGAUGUGAAAUCUCCACGCUCAACGUGGAGGGGCCAUUCGAAACUGCCGUGACUCGAGUCCGGUAGGGGAGUGUGGAAUUCCCGGUGUAGCGGUGAAAUGCGCAGAUAUCAGGAGGAACACCGGUGGCGAAGGCGGGUCUCUGGGCCGAUACUGACGCUGAGGAGCGAAAGCGUGGGGAGCGAACAGG